rnacentral:rRNA from 1 species
AGAGUUUGAUCCUGGCUCAGUGGAUGCUGGCGGCGUGCAUAACACAUUCAAGUCGAACGGGGGAGUUGCUCCCCUACGGGGAUCAACUGCAGGAGCCGCCCUGUACAGGGGGCGUCUCCGAGGAACAACCCACUUGAUAAAGUUGGUCCAAGUGGGGGAGUGACUGCGUAGUGGCGGACGGGUGAGUAACGCGUGAGCAACCUGCCGUAUAGUGGGGGAUAACACAGGGAAACUUGUGCUAAUACCGCAUAACACACAGGAAUCGCAUGGUUUUUGUGUCAAAGAUUUAUUGCUGUACGAUGGGCUCGCGUAUGAUUAGACAGUUGGCAGGGUAACGGCCUACCAAAUCAACGAUCAUUAGCCGAACUGAGAGGUUGAACGGCCACAUUGGAACUGAGAAACGGUCCAGACUCCUACGGGAGGCAGCAGUGGGGAAUAUUGGGCAAUGGGCGAAAGCCUGACCCAGCGACGCCGCGUGAGGGAAGAAGGUCUUCGGAUUGUAAACCUCUUUCAGCAGGGAAGAAAAGAUGACGGUACCUGCAGAAGAAGUCACGGCUAACUACGUGCCAGCAGCCGCGGUAAUACGUAGGUGGCGAGCGUUAUCCGGAAUUACUGGGUGUAAAGGGUGUGUAGGCGGGAUUGCAAGUCAGGCGUGAAAUGGGAAGGCUCAACCAUCCAGCUGCGCUUGAAACUGUAAUUCUUGAGAGUGGGAGAGGUAAACGGAAUUCCUGGUGUAGUAGUGAAAUGCGUAGAUAUCAGGAGGAACACCGGUGGCGAAGGCGGUUUACUGGACCACAACUGACGCUGAGACACGAAAGCGUGGGGAGCAAACAGGAUUAGAUACCCUGGUAGUCCACGCUGUAAACGAUGAAUACUAGGUGUAGGGUCCGCAGGGAUUCUGUGCCGGAGUUAACACAAUAAGUAUUCCACCUGGGGAGUACGGCCGCAAGGUUGAAACUCAAAGGAAUUGACGGGAGCCCGCACAAGCAGUGGAGUAUGUGGUUUAAUUCGACGCAACGCGAAGAACCUUACCGGAGCUUGACAUCCUCAGGAAGCCGAUGUAAUGUUGGCUGUGCCCUUCGGGGAGCUGAGAGACAGGUGGUGCAUGGUUGUCGUCAGCUCGUGUCGUGAGAUGUUGGGUUAAGUCCCGCGGCGAAAAGCAACAAAAUAUGUUCAGUUGCUACGGAAGAGCACUCUGGACAGACUGCCGUUGACAAAACGGAGGAAGGUGGGGACGACGUCAAAUCAUCAUGCCCCUUACGUUCCGGGCUACACACGUACUACAAUGGUGAGAACAAAGGGAAGCGAAGCCGCGAGGCGGAGCGAAGCCCAUAAAAAUCAUCCCAGUUCGGACUGCAGGCUGCAACCCGCCUGCACGAAGUUGGAAUUGCUAGUAAUCGCGGAUCAGCAUGCCGCGGUGAAUACGUUCCCGGGCUUUGUACACACCGCCCGUCAAACCAUGAAAGUUGGGAACACCCGAAGCCUGUGAGCCAACCGCAAGGGAGCAGCAGUCGAAGGUGGGUUCAAUGAUUGGGGUUAAGUCGUCUUAGGUAACC